CCAAUAGCGUAUAUUAAAGUUGUUGUGGUUAAAAAGCUCGUAGUUGAACCUUGGGCCUGGCUGGCCGGUCCGCCUCACCGCGUGUACUGGUCCGGCCGGGCCUUUCCCUCUGUGGAACCUCAUGCCCUUCACUGUGUGACGGGGAAGCAGGACUUUUACUGGGAAAAAAUUAGAGUGCUCCAAGCAGGCCUAUGCUCGAAUACAUUAGCAUGGAAUAAUAAAAUAGGACGUGCGGUUCUAUUUUGUUGGUUUCUAGGACCGCCGUAAUGAUUAAUAGGGACAGUCGGGGGCAUCAGUAUUCAAUUGUCAGAGGUGAAAUUCUUGGAUUUAUUGAAGACUAACUACUGCGAAAGCAUUUGCCAAGGAUGUUUUCAUUAAUCAGGAACGAAAGUUAGGGGAUCGAAGACGAUCAGAUACCGUCGUAGUUCUAACCAUAAACGAUGCCAACCAGUAAUUCGCCUGAGUUCCUUAAAUGACUCGGCGAGGGACUUCCG
rnacentral:misc_RNA from 1 species